AAAUUGAAGAGUUUGAUCAUGGCUCAGAUUGAACGCUGGCGGCAGGCCUAACACAUGCAAGUCGAACGGUAACAGGAAGCAGCUUGCUGCUUUGCUGACGAGUGGCGGACGGGUGAGUAAUGUCUGGGAAACUGCCUGAUGGAGGGGGAUAACUACUGGAAACGGUGGCUAAUACCGCAUAACGUCGCAAGACCAAAGAGGGGGACCUUCGGGCCUCUUGCCAUCAGAUGUGCCCAGAUGGGAUUAGCUUGUUGGUGAGGUAACGGCUCACCAAGGCGACGAUCCCUAGCUGGUCUGAGAGGAUGACCAGCCACACUGGAACUGAGACACGGUCCAGACUCCUACGGGAGGCAGCAGUGGGGAAUAUUGCACAAUGGGCGCAAGCCUGAUGCAGCCAUGCCGCGUGUAUGAAGAAGGCCUUCGGGUUGUAAAGUACUUUCAGCGGGGAGGAAGGUGUUGCGGUUAAUAACCGCAGCAAUUGACGUUACCCGCAGAAGAAGCACCGGCUAACUCCGUGCCAGCAGCC
rnacentral:rRNA from 1 species